rnacentral:rRNA from 1 species
AACGAACGCUGGCGGCAUGCCUAACACAUGCAAGUCGAACGAGACCUUCGGGUCUAGUGUCGCACGGGUGCGUAACGCGUGGGAACCUGCCCUUAGGUUCGGAAUAACUCCCCGAAAGGGGUGCUAAUACCGGAUAAUGUCUUCGGACCAAAGAUUUAUCGCCUUUGGAUGGGCCCGCGUUGGAUUAGCUAGUUGGUAGGGUAAAAGCCUACCGAGGCGACGAUCCAUAGCUGGUCUGAGCGGAUGAUCAGCCACACUGGGACUGAGACACGGCCCAGACUCCUACGGGAGGCAGCAAUGGGGAAUAUUGGACGAUGGGCGAAAGCCUGAUCCAGCAAUGCCGCGUGAGUGAUGAAGGCCUUAGGGUUGUAAAGCUCUUUUACCCGGGAUGAUAAUGACAGUACCGUGAGAAUAAGCUCCGGCUAACUCCGUG